rnacentral:misc_RNA from 1 species
UAUUGAGCGCGGCUGGGAUCUCCAGGAGCCAUCGUCUUGCCUUUGGCAGGCGUAACUCUUGCCCAGUUUUGCGUGAAUAUUCACCCAUGUCUUUUGCGUACUUCUUGUUUCCUUGGUGGGCUUGCCCGCCAAAAGGAUAAUUUAAUAACCUCUUUAAUUUUCAAUCAGCGUCUGAAUUAUUUUAAUAAUUACAACUUUCAACAACGGAUCUCUUGGUUCU